rnacentral:rRNA from 1 species
AACGAACGCUGGCGGCAGGCUUAACACAUGCCAGUCGAGCGAGACCUUCGGGUCUAGCGGCGGACGGGUGAGUAACGCGUGGGAACGUGCCCUUCUCUACGGAAUAGCCCCGGGAAACUGGGAGUAAUACCGUAUACGCCCUUUGGGGGAAAGAUUUAUCGGAGAAGGAUCGGCCCGCGUUGGAUUAGGUAGUUGGUGGGGUAAUGGCCCACCAAGUCGACGAUCCAUAGCUGGUUUGAGAGGAUGAUCAGCCACACUGGGACUGAGACACGGCCCAGACUCCUACGGGAGGCAGCAGUGGGGAAUCUUAGACAAUGGGGGCAACCCUGAUCGAGCCAUGCCGCGUGAGUGAUGAAGGCCUUAGGGUUGUAAAGCUCUUUCAGCUGGGAAGAUAAUGACGGUACCAGCAGAAGAAGCCCCGGCUAACUCCGUG